rnacentral:lncRNA from 1 species
AAUUUUUCAAAUGGAUUAUACAUUAACUUGUAUGCAUUUAAUUUUAUAAACGGAUUAUACGUCUGUUUGAAAAGUUGCUUGUGUCCAUUAAUUUUACAAAUAGAUUUAUAUCCGUUUGUAAAUCCGUUUGUACUCAUUUAAUUUUAAUUCCACAUCGGUAAAUUAUAAGGGAUGAGAAGUUCUCCUUCCCUAUAAGAAGGGAAGGUCCCUCAUUCCUUUAAUAUUAGUGCAUGAUUUUUAUCAUGUUAUGGAACCCUCAUAUGGGGUUCAUGAGAAAAUUUAAAUAUUUUAAUUUUAAAAUAUUUUUUUACUUAAUUUUAAUUUUAAAUUAUUUUUGAGCUCUAGUUAAUAUUCAAGCUUGAAUACGAGUUCACUCGUGUUGAGCUCCAAUCUAACUUGAGUUCAUUAAAUAUUUCACAAAUUGAGAUUGAGCUUAUAUAUAUAUAUUUUUUAAUAAACAAGCUUGAAUUUUGAAAAUGUCAGCUAGAUUUAAUUACCCUCCUAGCCAUUUGAAUCAUAAAUGGAUAUAUAAACAUAUUAGCUGUUUGUAUCACAAACAGAUUGACAAAUAAAUUAGUAGUUUGCAUUAUAAAUGGAUUUACAAACAGAUUGUCUGUUCAUAUGUGCAAUUUUAUUUAUAAAUAAGAGAGAAUUAUGUAAACAAGAAAUACAAACUGAUACCAAAUCCGUUUGUAUCACAAGAGGAUAUUCUGUUUAUGGAUCCGUUUGCAACAUAAAUGGAUUGUUUUUUGUUUGAAAAAAAUUACAAAUAAGAUUUACACAAAUGGAAAAAGGUCGGUUUAUUAUUCGUUUGUAAAUCAAAUUACAAACAGAAUUUCAUAAUUUAUAAACGGAUAAAUCCAUUUAUAUAUUUAAUUUUUUUGUAGUGUUAAAUAAUUUAAGGAUUUCAAAAAUAUAUGCAAAUGAUGGAUGCAAUUGAAAAUUUGUACAUACAUAAAAUGAUAUGAUUUACAUGAGACGUGUCAUAUGUAAUAUGAAAUAAAUAAACAUAUUGAAAAAUAAAAUUCAUGAGCUACAAUAUUAUCGUUUAAUUGAAGAUGAAACAUAUGUUAUUGAAAAACAUAUGCAUUCUAGUAAGGAAAGAAUAAUAAAUGAUAAUUCUUAGCCUAGUAAAUUUGGUGAGAGUUGUAGUUAAUAUAAGGGUAUAACAUGUCAUAUACAAAUUUAGCAGUACUGCACUAUAAGCUAUGUAGAUUUCGAUACUCAAUAUUGGGAUACCCUACAGUAUAGGCUCUCGAGUCUUACCGUCUUGGCUUUCAAGUCCUACAGUUUUGGCACUUGGUGCCCUACAAUUACAAUUUCCCUUAUCUGACUUUACGAUCUUGCUAGAGUUUAUAGGGCCAAAGCUAAAAGAUUUCUAAUAAGUGAAAAAUAAUAGAAUCAUCAUAAAAAAAUAAAAUUAAUAAAGAGGUACAUGUCUAAAGAAAUUGAUACGUUGUACAAAAAAUUUCUCAAUAAUGUAUAGAAUAAAAUUUAUUUAUUGAAUUAAAAUAAAUAUUUUUAAUAUUAUUGUUUUUUCAUCUAAAUAGUUAGAGUACUCAUAUUUAUAAACUUAAAGUAAAUAUUUUAUAUAGUUUAGUAUUUUAAAAGAACAUGAGGAAUAUUUAAAACUUAAAGAAACCAAAUAAAAAAAAAGACAGAAGGAGAAUAUUAUUCGAUUAUUAAUUUAUUUGUAUAAUCGAAAGGAAAUAUUUUAUGAAGAAAAGUAUAAAAUAAAUAAUAUUUCUCUUAAUAUAUGAAAUAGAUUGAGAUGUAAAGUACGUGUGUGGAAUUAAAUAUGAAUAUCUAUUAAAUUUAUGGAUAGUAGAACAUGUAUUAUUAAUUUAACUUUAAAAAAGAUUAAGACAAUUUUAACUCAAUUACACGUUAAAAAUUUUG